rnacentral:rRNA from 1 species
GACGAACGCUGGCGGCGUGCCUAAUACAUGCAAGUCGAGCGGACUUUCCAGAAUGCUUCCCCUCCGACAGUUUCGCGGCGGACGGGGUAGUAACACGUAAACCACCUGCCCAUAAUACCGGGAUAACAUUCGGAAACGAAUGCUAAUGCCGGAUAUACUGACUUCUCUCAUUCGGGGAUCGGGAAAGGCUGAGCAAUCUGCCGCUUAUGGAUGGGCCUGCGGCGCAUUAGCUAGUUGGUUGGGUAACGGCCUACCAAGGCGACGAUGCGUAGCCGACCUGAGAGGGUGAUCGGCCACACUGGGACUGAGACACGGCCCAGACUCCUACGGGAGGCAGCAGUAGGGAAUCUUCCGCAAUGGGCGAAAGUCUGACGGAGCAACGCCGCGUGAGUGAGGAAGGUCUUCGGAUCGUAAAGCUCUGUUGCCAGGGAAGAACGGGUAGGGAAGUAACUGCGCUCGCCAUGACGGUACCUGAGAAGAAAGCCACGGCUAACUACGUG